UAACAAAGAAACCAAGCAAAGACACUAUCCUUUUGAGGAAGAGGGUAAAUCUGUGCUCUGGUGAAAGCAAGGGAAAGAGAACCAGUGGAAAGGAGGAGACUAAAGAUGCUAUGGAGAGUAGUCUGUAAAUGAGAGAACGAGAUCCUAGAAGAUGUCCUUCUGAAGUGGCAAACCAAAUUCUGUGUGUACUAUUCCGGUCCCCAAAUGGUGAUCUGGAUAAAUCAAAUGUCAUCCUGAGGACUUGCACCCCCUGAGAGUACUUCCUCCAUUCCAGUGCCUUUUCUAAGAUGUCAUUCAUGGUGACCUCUGCACUGUCCCAAUGUUCAUCUGAAGAAAGAAGAGUGCACAAAGCAGCAUUUCUUCUAACAAAAAGCCAUUGUUUGACUGCAAAGCCAGAAGAUGAAUAAUUCUCAACCAAAGUGGAAGGGCUAAAGUCAAAUCUCUAAAUGGGCUCAUUAGAAUCCAAGGGAUGGAAAAUGGUGUCAACCUUGCCAUCAUCCUUGAUAACAUGGAGAUAAUAAACAGCAAUGCUGUCAUUGU
rnacentral:lncRNA from 1 species